GUCCGGCAGUCAGCCGCUUGACGCCGGCCGGCGCGUUUGUCAGUUUAAAUCCGACUCUACCGAAACUUCGGGAUCGUGUCGAAAAAGAAAACCAUGUAUUGUGAAUUAACUAUUGCGAUUGGACCAAUGUAUUAUUUAUAAGAGACUCGAGACCAAGUAUCGGCAUUCAGGAUAUCUCCUGAAGACACCCGCAGAUUGUAAUGUCUUGGCGUGAUGCAACUUGUAAUGGUCAACUUCCUCAUCAUGUUUGACGUCGUAUUUGUAUUCUUCUUAUUCCUCAUCGCUGUUACAUGUAUCAUGAAUUAUAUGCCGGGGAGGAAGAGACAGGAAGUGACGCAAGAGGAAGUGAAAAGUGACGUCAUUCCUCCCCCGCCGCUGUUCGCUGGUGAUGAUUACCAAAAGGAGAGAGAUACAUAUGUUGUUAUAUCACCGCCGCUUGAAAAUGCUAGGAAGGAUGGGUGUCCAAUUCACAUUGUUUAGUAUAAGUGGCAAAUCAUCGUUGGAGUUUAAAAAAGCCUUAUGUAACUACAAAUAUUAGACGUUUUAGAUAUUAAGAUGGGGUUUAUUUUCACGCAUUUAUAGGUAGUUGUUUUAUAGGUCCGAUACAAUUAGUAAAACUUAUUGAAUUUAUAUAUUAGGUCCAAGACGAGACAAAAGGGAAUCAAGGCCCGUUGGGAAUAUAGCUGAAAGAGAGCUGUAGAAAUUUCUAGAUAAUAUGCAUAUAAAAUUGUAACUGAUGUUUGUAUAUAGAAGAUAGUUAAGUAUUUUAUAACCAAUGGAAUCGUUUUAAUUUGGCUUGUCUAUGCGCAUUAUUCUUAAGCU